rnacentral:snRNA from 1 species
AUAGUAGUGCAGUGGCAGUAUCAUAGCCAAUGAGGUUAAUCUGAGGCGUGAUUAUUGCUAGUUGAAAUCUCUUAUUGAACCCACUUCUGUUGGUGAGAGGUCUGGAUAAGAGCUCUGGGUAAGCUUAAAGAACGAGGAGUACUUGUGGCACCUUAGAGACUAACAAAUUUAUUUGGGCAUAAG